rnacentral:sRNA from 1 species
UUGAUAUCCCUGGAGACUGAAGUCUUCUAUUUAUCUACAAGGACAGAUACAACAUGGGCAGUCACAGUGCAGGCUUCCAGUUAAUACAUUUGCCAAACAUAUGGGUUUUCCUGCAAACUACAGGUUGUUUCAGUGUCUUUUAUGGCUAUUUGGAGAAA